rnacentral:rRNA from 1 species
GAUGAACGCUGGCGGCGUGCCUAAUACAUGCAAGUCGAGCGAACAGACGAGGAGCUUGCUCCUCUGACGUUAGCGGCGGACGGGUGAGUAACACGUGGAUAACCUACCUAUAAGACUGGGAUAACUUCGGGAAACCGUAGCUAAUACCGGAUAAUAUAUUGAACCGCAUGGUUCAAUAGUGAAAGACGGUUUUGCUGUCACUUAUAGAUGGAUCCGCGCCGCAUUAGCUAGUUGGUAAGGUAACGGCUUACCAAGGCAACGAUGCGUAGCCGACCUGAGAGGGUGAUCGGCCAAACUGGAACUGAGACACGGUCCAGACUCCUACGGGAGGCAGCAGUAGGGAAUCUUCCGCAAUGGGCGAAAGCCUGACGGGGCAACGCCGCGUGAGUGAUGAAGGUCUUCGGAUCGUAAAACUCUGUUAUUAGGGAAGAACAAAUGUGUAAGUAACUAUGCACGUCUUGACGGUACCUAAUCAGAAAGCCACGGCUAACUACGUG